GAAAAGGACCAAGAGGCACAGAAACUGCUAACUAUCUGCUACCGGAGUUGAACUCUCCGGCCUUUUC
rnacentral:tRNA from 11 species